UAAACCUUUGGUAUAGGUUCAAAUCCUAUUGGACGCA
rnacentral:tRNA from 1 species